rnacentral:rRNA from 1 species
CCUACGGGGGGCAGCAGUGGGGAAUAUUGGGCAAUGGGCGCAAGCCUGACCCAGCAACGCCGCGUGAAGGAUGAAGGCGUUCGGGUUGUAAACUUCUUUUCUGAGGGACGAAGAAAGUGACGGUACCUUAGGAAUAAGCCACGGCUAACUACGUGCCAGCAGCCGCGGUAAUACGUAGGUGGCAAGCGUUAUCCGGAUUUACUGGGUGUAAAGGGCGUGUAGGCGGUAAAGCAAGUCAGAUGUGAAACCUCAGGGCUCAACCCUGAACCUGCAUUUGAAACUGUUGUUCUUGAGUGCUGGAGAGGCAAUCGGAAUUCCGAGUGUAGCGGUGAAAUGCGUAGAUAUACGGAGGAACACCAGUGGCGAAGGCGGAUUGCUGGACAGUAACUGACGCUGAGGCCCGAAAGCGUGGGGAGCAAACAGGAUUAGAUACCCCGGUAGUC